UGCGGUAAGAGCGCACCAGUUCUCUGGGUGACCAGGGAAGCUAUGUAAACCCCACCUGGUGCAAGACCAAAUAGGGAAGCGUUUUAGAACAGCCCAUUCGAGUUUCCGGGUAGGUCGCAGGAAGCGUCUGGCAACAGCCGCUCAUAGAUGAAUGAUCGUCACCCUGUGCAGGGCAACCUGUGCAGGGAACAGAAUUCGGCUUAUGGACCUCUCUGACCG
rnacentral:RNase_P_RNA from 1 species